CCUACGGGAGGCAGCAGUGGGGAAUAUUGCACAAUGGGCGCAAGCCUGAUGCAGCGACGCCGCGUGCGGGAUGGAGGCCUUCGGGUUGUAAACCGCUUUUGUUAAAGGGCAAGGCACGGUCUUUGGCCGUGUUGAGUGGAUUGUUCGAAUAAGCACCGGCUCACUACGUGCCAGCGGCCGCGGUAAUAAGUCGGGUGCAAGCGUUAUCCGGGUUUAUUGGGCGGAAAGGGCUCGUAGGCGGUUCGUCGCGUCCGGGGGGAAAGUCCAUGGCUUAACGGUGGAACCGCUCCGGGUACGGGCGGGCUUGAGUGCUGUAAGGGAGACUGGAAUUCCCGGUGUAACGGUGGAAUGUGUAGAGAUCGGGAAGAACACCAAUGGCGAAGGCAGGUCUCUGGGCCGUUACUGACGCUGAGGAGCGAAAGCGUGGGGAGCGAACAGGAUUAGAUACCCUUGUAGUC
rnacentral:rRNA from 1 species